ensembl:lncRNA
AAAGAAAUGACCUGAUCCUCCCCCAAGCCAUGUCAGAGUUGAGGAGCUAUCCUCACUUAGCCUCACCCUGCAAAGAAAUGACCUGAUCCUCCCCCAAGCCAUGUCAGAGUUGAGGAAGACAGGAACCAGACUGGAAGCACUAAAGCUUAGGGCAAAGGCAGGAGGCAUGCUGGAGAAGAUCCAGACCAUGCUUGCUCAGCAGCAGGGUGAUGAGAGGAGAUUCCAGGUGUGUUAGGCUGAGAGCUUGUUAGGAUGCAAGAGAAAUCGAUUAUUAAAAUUGACGAUUAAGACUGAUUCCCACACUGAGAAUCUAUGUAUUCGUUACCCAAUAGAACAAUUUGAGGAUAAGGAGGGAAAUGCAGUGGAGAAGUCUUUAAAAAAUGUUUAUGGGAGACAGACAAAUGGCCAGACAUGUCAUUGUGUGUACCCCAGUGGAGUCUUUCAGAGUGGUAAACCCUGACACAUGGCCAGAAGACCAGGCCAGCCUUCUCACCUUUGGCGACGAUGGUGUGGCAGACCUGAUAAGGCAUUUUAAGGAGCUGAGAAUUUAUUUGACACUGCAUUGCCAUAUGAGACAAUGUUAUAUUUGCAUAUUUGUAAACUCACUUGCUCUGUUAAAUCCUACAGAUCGGGGUGCAACAUGGCUGCAAUCCAGGAUGAGUGGCAGGGGCUGUCAGCCACAAUUUCAAGGACAAGUCUUAGUGGCAUGUGGGAGACCAUGUUGACAAAGGACCCCUACAGGCACGAUUACAAGAACAUACUGGAGUUGGUGCAGCUUAUGCUGGUGCUGCCCAUUUCAGCCGCCCAGUGUGAGUGAGGCUUCUCUGUGCAGAACCGGAUUAAGAUUGACAAGAAGUUGCCUUGGGGUCUCUAUCACCGAAGACCUGAUGAGGAUCAGCCUGGGGGUCUUCUGUCGAGGAGUUGGAUCCCACUCCUGCCGUGGACCGCUGGCUGACCUCUAAGCGUGCCAGACGGCCAACAUACAAAAGCAGCUGGACAACUGAUAUCCUUUGCGUCUAGUAGCCAUGAGUCAAUGUAUGAUUGGUGGUAUGUGUCCCUUAUGUGUCCCUUAGUACACACACGCAGUAAAAAUAUGUAUGUAAUAAAUUGUUUGUUAAUAAAC